GCGAACCACGCGGGGCGUCCCGCCCGGGCAGCCGGGCCGAGGGACUGAGACGAGCGGUACGGCCGCCCGGACCCGUCGAACCUGAUCUCGCUAGCACGAGCGGAGGAACGUGGGCAUGACGACGC
rnacentral:ncRNA from 1 species